UAAUGAAUUCAGCCCCUCCUCCUCCAAAACGCUCCCAUCUUGGAUUCCCACUGCAAUAAGAGGCAACUUGCGAUGUGGAAUAGAGGACCCUCCGUCGAUAACAGCCGAAUGAGCGGAGCGUCACUCAUUGAACGGUUCAUUGCAAUUUUCAUUACCCCGCUUGUCUGCCAGACCGCUAUUUCAACCACAAGGAGAACAUUCGGAGUCCCCACUCCAGCGCUCGCGCAGCCGGAGAUGCUGGCUUCCGCCGUUCGCAAGACAUUUUCUGCUUUAAUCUCUCGAGGCUAAUUCUUGUUCGGCGCUCUGAUGGGCGUUUAUUUUAUUAUUUUUUCCUUUGGAUUCUUAUCCGGAUUUUUCCCCGAAAGCACUAAAUGAAGAGGAUAAAUCUGCGCUGGAAAUCACCGCCCAUGUGGCCGUCCGGAGUGGGUAACAGGCUGCCUUGUCCCCGGGAAUCUGCGCUCCGCAGGGCGGCCCUCAGUGGAAACGUCCUCGCGCUCCCCCCGUACCACGUACCCACUGGCAGAAGCGUCCGGGUGUUCAUCAGCGCCAACCCCGACGACACAGAGGCGGAGAGGAACGCUCUGAAGGAACACGUGUAUCCGAAACUACGGGACUUCUGCCGGGAGAACUAUGGGAUUGAAUUUCAGGUAAUAAAAGUGCUUAUUUCACCCUGGGGCUUUGCUGUGGUGUGUAGCGCUGAUUAGCCAGCUGCUUUUUAUAAUGUUUCUUUUUCUUUGAGACAACAGUGAUUCAUUCUUGCUGAAUCAUUUCUUUUUUUUAAUUUAGUGUUUAUGUGUAAAGACCUCAAAAUGAGAUUUAAGAAUCAAAACAAAAAUGCACAACGUCUUCGCUUUUUUUGUUGUUGUUGUUGUUGUUGUUGUUGUUGAUGAAGAUGUGUGAAAUAUAGGAACAGAUGUAAACUUACCACUGUAACAGUUUUGAAUGUUGUACGUCAUCUAGUCUAUCAGUUGCGUGGAAUGUUCAGACGCCAUUGUAGCCUAUCACCCAAUCACAGUCUACUGCUAAUCGCAAUAUUGGGUCAUUUACAUAAUUCAUGCAAUUGUCGAGGAAUGCAACGUUGCACAGUCAGUCAUUAGAUGAUGUCGUGGUACAUUAAGUUCAUUCUACAGACUCUGUAGAGCACACCUAUUUAUAUUGUGGAUGAUGGUGAUGAGUUUGUGGUUAAGGAUUUUGGGCUUUUGACCAGAAUGAACUGGGUUCAGAUUUUAGGUGGGGUAACUUGUUGUACCCUUUAGUAUGCCUUAAUUAACCUGAAUGGUUUCUGCAUACAUUUAGCUGUGUAAAGAGAUAACAUGAAAACCUUUGUAUCAUUUGUAAUUUUCAAUUAAUAUGAGAACAAAGAAAAUAAGCUUUAACAACAGUUGUAGGAUAACUGAACUCAUGGCUGUGUAUUUAUUAAAGUUUUUAACAUGUUUUGGGUAUUACUGAUAAGUAUGUGACUUUUAUGUGCAGCAGUCCUUUAUAUUUAUGGUAACGACAAAUGCAGUUACAUACAAUGCACUCUAGAAUAUUCUGUUCCAAACAGAUACCCACUUCAACAUACUAAAUAUACCAUCAUGGUGGUAAUUUUCAAUGUUCGCUGAGGUAUGAUUUCUUUUUUAGAUGUAGGCCUACUUGACAUUUGAAUAUUAAUUAUGAGAAUGAAACAGAUUGGAGAUCUUAUUAUAGCCAUGUGACGAGUAAGGAGUCUCUCCCACACACGAGAGCCCAUAUCUUAGCCUGAAGUGGGUUGGCAUACACGCAUGUGUAAUUACCCUUCUGCCACUCUACCACCUUAUGCACUUCGCGCCUUCCUUAUCACAUGACUAUUUUUUUCAACCAGUUAAAUAAUUAGUGCGAUGAUAAAAGUGUGCAUUAAAAUAUUCAGAAAUAUUUAAUGUUUACGUUUGUACAACGCCGAGGUUGUCCUAACUUUUUUCACUUAGAGAUUCAACAAAACUAAAACUAGAAAAUGUUGAGUGAAAUGUAUUUCAGAGCACCACAUGAACCA